rnacentral:rRNA from 1 species
AUUGAACGCUGGCGGCAUGCUUUACACAUGCAAGUCGAACGGCAGCGCGGGCUUCGGCCUGGCGGCGAGUGGCGAACGGGUGAGUAAUGCAUCGGAACGUGCCCAGUAGUGGGGGAUAGCCCGGCGAAAGCCGGAUUAAUACCGCAUACGACCUGAGGGUGAAAGCGGGGGACCGAAAGGCCUCGAGCGAUUGGAGGGGCCGAAGACGGAUUAGCUAGUUGGUGGGGUAAAGGCUUACCAAGGCGACGAUCCGUAGCUGGUCUGAGAGGACGACCAGCCACACUGGCACUGAGACACGGCCCAGACUCCUACGGGAGGCAGCAGUGGGGAAUUUUGGACAAAGGGGGCAACCCUGAUCCAGCCAUGCCGCGUGCGGGAAGAAGGCCUUCGGGUUGUAAACCGCUUUUGUUCGGGAAGAAAUCCUCUGGGCUAAUACCCCGGGGGGAUGACGGUACCGGAAGAAUAAGCACCGGCUAACUACGUG